rnacentral:rRNA from 1 species
UACGAAGGGGGCGAGCGUUGUUCGGAAUUACUGGGCGUAAAGGGCGCGUAGGCGGCCGAUCAAGUCAGAUGUGAAAGUCCUGGGCUUAACCUGGGGACUGCAUUUGAUACUGAUUGGCUUGAAUGCAGGAGAGGAUAGCGGAAUUCCCAGUGUAGAGGUGAAAUUCGUAGAUAUUGGGAAGAACACCAGCGGCGAAGGCGGCUAUCUGGACCACAACUGACGCUGAGGCGCGAAAGCGUGGGGAGCAAACAGG